rnacentral:rRNA from 1 species
GACGAACGCUGGCGGCGUGCUUAACACAUGCAAGUCGAACGGAAAGGCCCUGCUUUUGUGGGGUGCUCGAGUGGCGAACGGGUGAGUAACACGUGAGUAACCUGCCCUUGACUUUGGGAUAACUUCAGGAAACUGGGUCUAAUACCGGAUAGGAGCUCCUGCUGCAUGGUGGGGGUUGGAAAGUUUCGGCGGUUGGGGAUGGACUCGCGGCUUAUCAGCUUGUUGGUGGGGUAGUGGCUUACCAAGGCUUUGACGGGUAGCCGGCCUGAGAGGGGGACCGGCCACAUUGGGACUGAGAUACGGCCCAGACUCCUACGGGAGGCAGCAGUGGGGAAUAUUGCACAAUGGGCGGAAGCCUGAUGCAGCAACGCCGCGUGCGGGAUGACGGCCUUCGGGUUGUAAACCGCUUUCGCCUGUGACGAAGCGUGAGUGACGGUAAUGGGUAAAGAAGCACCGGCUAACUACGUG